rnacentral:lncRNA from 1 species
UCCUAUGGCUGUGGUUGGAGAGACGUAGAGAGAGGCUGCUGCGAAGUCACAAUCCAGCCACACGGCAUUGAUCCUGUCAUGGCUGGUGUGGUUGUGUCCACACGUGACCUGAACAUCCUUCCCACUCAGUACCAAAUACAGUCAAUUCUGUGGCUUGAUGGUGCGUGGACAUAACAUUCAGAUAUCGCCCAUGAUGAGGAAACAGAAGCUGGGAUAUGUGAGUAAACAUUUCCAAGGUCCUGCAGCUAAUCAAUGGUUGACAACUUCUUUCCUCUGCCUAUGUUGCCAUCCAUGUCAUGGUUUGUGUCAAGACUCUAGGAGAAGUCUACCAUCAGCACCACAGCUACUGUGCACAAAUCCAGAAUGCCAGACUGAAGUCAGAAGGAAAGAGAACUUUUCCAACCAGCAGUGGGGCCCUUAGCAGGGGAGACUGGAAACAGAUCCUUUAUAUAUUGAAAGAAGAAAGUAGAACCAUUUCUGGGUCCCAGCUGUGGGAAGAGCUCCUGUGGCUGUGAAUUCUGACUUCUGGGUCUUGGCACAAGGUGUGGCCAGCAAGCUAAGCUGUCCUGAGGGUGUGCAGGGCCAGGGGCUGAAGACAGUGUUGGAGCAUCCACAGACUGGUUUGUCUCAAGAAGCAUGUUACUAAAUAUGAAAUAGCAAAAUCUGCAAGUGGGUUUACUUUUCCCCCAUAGAUUAGAAUGGAUUCAAUAUUAUCUCUUUAUUAGCGUCACUUUUAAUCACUUGUAUAACAAGUAGGACAGAAAGGUGGCUUGAAAGUCAAUCAUGUGAGAAUUCCAGAUAAAUUGACUUUGCUCACAA